AUUGAACGCUGCGGCAGGCUUAACACAUGCAAGUCGAGCGAGCGGCGGACGGGCGAGUAAUGCAUAGGAAUCUGCCUAUCAGUUGGGGACAACAUCCCGAAAGGGAUGCUAAUACCGCAUACUAAUAGAUGAGCCUAAGUCGGUUUAGCUAGUUGGUGGGGUAAAGGCCGACCAAGGCGACGAUCUGUCGCGGGUCUGGGAGGAUGAUCCGCCAAAAUGGGAAUGAGAAACGGGCCAAGAUCCUGAGGGAGGCAGCAGUGGGGAAAAUUGGAAAAAGGGGGGAACGCUGAACCAGCCAUGCCGCGGGUGGGGAGAAGGCCUUAUGGUUGUAAAGCAAUUUAAGCUAGGGGGCGUUACUCGCAGAAGAAGCACCGGCUAACUCCGUGCCAGCAGCCGCGGUAAUAC
rnacentral:rRNA from 1 species